UGGCAGUCAUAUACUGUGUAAUUUAGGAAGUUUGCAUGCCAUUACCCAGAAUGCUAAUCUACAACCAACCAGUGCCAUUUAAAUAAUGUGUUACCUAGAAAACAGAUUAUGAAAAUUCACUGGUGUGGUGUUAGAUCACCCAUAGUUACACUGAAUAUAUUGUUUGGAAGCAGAGCUUUAGAAAACUGUCUAUCUUGCCUUUACAACUCCUUUGGUAGAACAUUCAUAACACAUAUCAAAGAAAAUAAAAAAUAAAACAUUAUAGGAAGUAUUUCUGAUGGAGGCUGGGGAGACGUACAAACACAUACAGGUAAAGCAGCGAAAUGGAGUUCAUCAUUUGACCAGCUGAGGUAGACAUUCAUCAAAAAGACUGGUUGACAUCCCUUUGCAACAAAGACAAAUGAUUUAAACCAGUAGAGUUCUAAUCCACUCACUCUUCAGUAAGUCAACCUUCAAGGCGAAUAGAUUUACUCAAGGGAACAUUCAGCUGAAGAAGUGAGAUAUAUCGGUGGGAGAAACCAGAU